UACGUAGGGUGCGAGCGUUGUCCGGAAUUACUGGGCGUAAAGAGCGCGUAGGCGGUCCGGUAAGUCCGCUCUGAAAGUCCGGGGCUCAACCCCGGGAGGCGGGCGGAUACUGUCGGGCUAGAGUCCGGAAGAGGCGAGUGGAAUUCCUGGUGUAGCGGUGAAAUGCGCAGAUAUCAGGAGGAACACCAAUGGCGAAGGCAGCUCGCUGGGACGGUACUGACGCUGAGGCGCGAAAGCGUGGGGAGCAAACAGG
rnacentral:rRNA from 1 species